CCAGGGAGGGGUUUGGGAAGCACUGCGUGUUUGGGGGACGUUUUGCGCUUCCUGGUCUCUCCAGCCUACAAGUCGGGAGUCGGCGACCGCUUAGUGACGAGCGAUGAUUUUAAAGAGCAGAAUAAAAGGUUUUCCCGUGCCUGCCCCACAGCCCCUCCAGCUCGAAUAAUGGAGAACUGUCAAUGCACUCCGCGAGCGGUGGCCCAUUGUACGCAGCUGAUGGCGAGGAGGCGACUGGGGGUAGCAGGGGCUCCUUGCCCUCGUCCCUAUGCCCAAAUAAACGCGCAAACGCGCUCCCGUCUUCUGGUCAGUUAAAAGGUGAAACGAACACGAUUAAAAUAGACCAAAAGAAAAGAAAGAAAAGAAAACCUUUCUAUGUACAGAUUCUAAAUCGUACUCCCCAUACAGUCAGAGGCAGGGAGUCGAGGGCAGAGGCAGCAGGCGGAGAGAGGGAGAUAGGGCGAGGGAAGGAGAACGCGGAGAGAGACGAAGGGAGUGGGAGACCAGCGACAGCGAGCGCCAGGGCACCGCAGGCACACUGGAUGCCCAGUCCGCCGGCCCAGCCGCCCUCGGACCCUGGACCGUGCGUCGUGGGCACCAGAAACGAGACUCGGCCAAAUCCUGCCUCACCAGGUAGAUGAAACUCAAGAGAAAAGGUGUGGAUAAAUGAAACUAGCCCAUGAUGAACCUGUUUUCUCCGUGACCACAAUAUUAACCAGGAUGAAUGGCGGUGGCAGUGGGCCUGCAUCACAGGUUGCAGCAGAUGUUCUCAAUAUUUCUAUUAAAAUUUCCUUAUUUCCAUAUGCAAGAGGAGCCCCAGAGCUGCAUCCUUAUGGUAGCUACCAUGCCGUGAUGUAAGCUGCCAUUCACUGGGGAGCUUUGGCAAUAGAAUUGGCUAGAUCAGGAAGCCUAUGUCAACUAUGGAACAACAACUUGCAGCUCAUCUCUAUUGAUGAUACACUGCCUCUAGGACUGGGACAGAUAGCCACUGAGUACCUGCUUCAAAUCACCCUGCACGUUUUCUCUUUGGAAAGAUAAGCACUGGAGAACCAUCUCGUUACCUUCAGCAGAAAUGGAAACAAAUCAAGACAUUAAGAAUGCCGCAGUGGACAGCAGUUAUGCAAGGUUCAGCAGAGGAAGUUUUCAAGAUGGUGUGCCUCACUAGCCAGAAAUCAGAAAAGAUCGAAGCUAGCCUUUUCAUCUCAGCUGCUCCUUAAAUCAGUGCAACCCCUCCAAAUUAAUGUGAAUUGAAACUUGCAUUGCUUUUCAACUUAAUUGAAUACUUACUAUAUGUGAACCACUGCACAAAAUAGGGGAAGAAGAUGUGGGAGACAAAGAUGUGGAGCCUGUCUUCAAUAAAUUUACAGUUAGUUUCAGGGUACAUUGUUUUUCUUCUGCUGUUAAUUAGGUGUAUCCCCAAGACAAUAAAUACAUGAAUGGAAAAGUAU
rnacentral:lncRNA from 1 species